rnacentral:rRNA from 1 species
GAUGAACGCUGGCGGCGUGCCUAAUACAUGCAAGUCGAGCGAAUGGAUUAAGAGCUUGCUCUUAUGAAGUUAGCGGCGGACGGUUGAGUAAGACGGGGGUAACCUGCCCAUAAGACUGGGAUAACUCCGGGAAACCGGGGCUAAUACCGGAUAACAUUUUGAACCGCAUGGUUCGAAAUUGAAAGGCGGCUUCGGCUGUUACCUAUGGAUGGAGCCGCGUCGCAUUAGCUAGUUGGUGAGGUAACGGCUCACCAAGGCAACGAUGCGUAGCCGACCUGAGAGGGUGAUCGGCCACACUGGGACUGAGACACGGCCCAAACUCCUACGGGAGGCAGCAGUAGGGAAUCUUCCGCAAUGGACGAAAGUCUGACGGAGCAACGCCGCGUGAGUGAUGAAGGCUUUCGGGUCGUAAAACUCUGUUGUUAGGGAAGAACAAGUGCUAGUUGAAUAAGCUGGCACCUUGACGGUACCUAACCAGAAAGCCACGGCUAACUACGUGCCAGCCGCCGCUGUAA